rnacentral:rRNA from 1 species
GACGACCGCUGGCGGCGUGCUUAACACAUGCAAGUCGAACGGAAAGGCCCUGCUUUUGUGGGGUGCUCGAGUGGCGAACGGGUGAGUAACACGUGAGUAACCUGCCCUUGACUUUGGGAUAACUUCAGGAAACUGGGGCUAAUACCGGAUAGGAGCUCCUGCUGCAUGGUGGGGGUUGGAAAGUUUCGGCGGGUGGGGGUGGACUCGCGGCUUAUCAGCUUGUUGGUGGGGUAGUGGCUUACCAAGGCUUUGACGGGUAGCCGGCCUGAGAGGGUGACCGGCCACAUUGGGACUGAGAUACGGCCCAGACUCCUAUGGGAGGCAGAAGUGGGGAAUAUUGCACAAUGGGCGGAAGCCUGAUGCAGCAACGCCGCGUGCGGGAUGACGGCCUUCGGGUUGUAAACCGCUUUCGCCUGUGACGAAGCGUGAGUGACGGUAAUGGGUAAAGAAGCACCGGCUAACUACGUG